UUCAUCAAGAGCAGUCGAGGGAAUGGCCCCAUGACACUGCGGCAACCGCCAUAAGGUAUGGUGCCAACUCCAUCGGAUUACAUCCGGCAGAUGA
rnacentral:ncRNA from 1 species